AUGACCGCUUUACCAAUAGUUGAGACUCAAUCUUGAGACAUUUCCGCCUAUAUUCCUACUAAUGUAAUCUCCAUUAUAGAUGGACAAAUAUUCUUAUCUGCGGAUCUAUUCAAUGUCGGAAUUCGACCUGCUAUUAAUGUGGGUAUUCUGUUUCCAGAGACAAGAUCCGCGGCUCAAAUUAAAGCCAUGAAACAAGUAGCUGGCAAAUCAAAAUUGGAACUAGCUCAAUUCGCAGAGUUACAAGCCUUUGCACAAUUUUCCUCUACUCUCGAUAAGACAAGUUAGAAUCAAUUGGCAAGGGGUCGACGAUUAAGGGAAUUUCUUAGACAAUCCGAGGCAAAUCCUCUCCCAAUUGAAGAGUUGAUAGCUACUAUUUAUACUAGAACAAGAGGAUAUCUUGAUUCGUUAGAAAUUGAACAGGUAAAUAAAUUUCUGGAUGAGUUACGUAAACAUAUAAAAGAUACUAAACCUCAAUUCCAAGAAAUUGUAUGUUCUAGCAAGACAUUCACCGAGCAAGCGGAAAUCCUUUUGAAGGAAGCUAUUCAGGAACAACUGGAACGGUUUUCUCUUCAGUAA
rnacentral:rRNA from 1 species